GGCUUCGGUUAUGCCUGUUGUACUCUGUGAUGACUCUGGAUAACUUCACUGAUCGCAGUCGGCCUUGUGUCGGCGACGGAUCUUUCAAAUGUCUGCCCUAUCAACUGUCGAUGGUAGGUGACCUGCCUACCAUGGUGAUAACGGGUAACGGGGAAUCAGGGUUCGAUUCCGGAGAGGGAGCCUGAGAAACGGCUACCACUUCUAAGGAAGGCAGCAGGCGCGAAAAUUACCCACUCCCGGCACGGGGAGGUAGUGACGAAAAAUACGAAUACGGGACUCAACUGAGGCUCCGUAAUUCGAAUGAGUACACUUUAAAUCCUUUAACGAGGACCAAUUGGAGGGCAAGUCUGGUGCCAGCAGCCGCGGUAACUCCAGCUCCAAAAGCGUAUAUUAAAGUUGCUGCAGUUAAAAAGCUCGUAGUUGGAUCUGGGUGGUGUGGCCACAUGCCGUUGCUCGUGCUACUGCCUAGACUACGGUCUUGGUGGGAGUGCGGGUCGGUGUAGUUGCCGUGCAACC
rnacentral:rRNA from 1 species